GCCUGGGUGGCUCAGUCGGUUGAGCGUCCGACUUCAACUCAGGUCACGAUCUCGCAGUCCGUGAGUUCGAGCCCCGCGUCAGGCU
rnacentral:tRNA from 1 species